AUUAUUAAAAAUUGUUCGUUUCCAAGGGCAAAAGAAAUGAGAUUUUUACAUAUUUUCAUCUUAAUUGCCACUUUGUUGGCCAUUGUCAUAUCUCAAAGUGAUGCUACAAGCCAUAGGGAGAAACUUGAAUGGAUGACAGGCAAAGGUGGCACCAGAACGCGAUCCUGAAAUGGUUGGCUUAUAGAGUUUACUACAGAAAGACGUUAAUCUUUUUUGUGUGCAUUUCUUUGUGGUUUUUAAAAGUCUUGAAUUUUAAAUGUUUUGUACGGUAUAGAUUUUUCGUAAAAUAUUUGGAAUAAAAAAAAAGAAACAAAUAAGUAAAA
rnacentral:sRNA from 1 species